GCCGGGCGUGGUGGCUCACACCUGUAAUCCCAGCACUUUGGGAGGCUGAGGCAGGGGGAUCACUUAAGCCCAGGAGUUCAAAACCAGCCUGGGCAACAUAGUGAGACCCUGUCUCUA
ensembl:misc_RNA Metazoa_SRP Metazoan signal recognition particle RNA